UACAGAGGAUGCAAGCGUUAAUCGGAAUUACUGGGCGUAAAGCGUGCGCAGGCGGUAAUGUAAGACUGUCGUGAAAUCCCCGGGCUUAACCUGGGAAUGGCGAUGGUGACUGCAAGGCUAGAGUUUGGCAGAGGGGGGUAGAAUUCCACGUGUAGCAGUGAAAUGCGUAGAGAUGUGGAGGAACACCGAUGGCGAAGGCAGCCCCCUGGGUCAAGACUGACGCUCAUGCACGAAAGCGUGGGGAGCAAACAGG
rnacentral:rRNA from 1 species